rnacentral:rRNA from 1 species
GAAAAGAACUUUGGAGAGAGAGUUAAAGAGUACGUGAAACCGUAUAGGGGUUAAGCCCGUUGAAUCUAAUCUAUCCGAUGGAUGAAAUUCAAUAUUAAACUUAAUCGUUUAGUAUGCACUUUUCAUCUAGUAGGACACUGCAAUCCGUUAGAUUAAAUAUAUGCUUUUUUGCUAUAUUUGAGUCUAUCUCUAAAAUUCGCCAUGGAUUGUUUAUCAUAAAUAUCAUUAUAUGUUAUUUUGAUAAAUCCAUAUAGAAUUUUGAUAGUAUUCGACUGACGGAUUUAAAACAAUCAUAUAACAUGCAUAUGUAAUUAUUAAUUUAAUUUAUAUGUAUUUGAUUGGCAGUGCACUCAAAGAUUUAGAUACCUUCGGGGCCCGUCUUGAAACACGGA